rnacentral:rRNA from 1 species
CCUACGGGCGGCUGCAGUGGGGAAUAUUGGACAAUGGGGGCAACCCUGAUCCAGCCAUGCCGCGUGUGUGAAGAAGGCCCUCGGGUUGUAAAGCACUUUCAGUGAGGAAGAACGCCUGGUGGUUAAUACCCAUCAGGAAAGACAUCACUCACAGAAGAAGCACCGGCUAACUCCGUGCCAGCAGCCGCGGUAAUACGGAGGGUGCGAGCGUUAAUCGGAAUUACUGGGCGUAAAGCGCGCGUAGGUGGCUUGAUAAGCCGGUUGUGAAAGCCCCGGGCUCAACCUGGGAACGGCAUCCGGAACUGUCAAGCUAGAGUGCAGGAGAGGAAGGUAGAAUUCCCGGUGUAGCGGUGAAAUGCGUAGAGAUCGGGAGGAAUACCAGUGGCGAAGGCGGCCUUCUGGACUGACACUGACACGGAGGUGCGAAAGCGUGGGUAGCAAACAGGAUUAGAUACCCGAGUAGUC